AUCGAACGCUGGCGGCAGGCCUAACACAUGCCAGUCGAGCGGAUGAAGGGAGCUUGCUCCUGGAUUCAGCGGCGGACGGGUGAGUAAUGCCUAGGAAUCUGCCUGGUAGUGGGGGAUAACGUCCGGAAACGGGCGCUAAUACCGCAUACGUCCUGAGGGAGAAAGUGGGGGAUCUUCGGACCUCACGCUAUCAGAUGAGCCUAGGUCGGAUUAGCUAGUUGGUGGGGUAAAGGCCUACCAAGGCGACGAUCCGUAACUGGUCUGAGAGGAUGAUCAGUCACACUGGAACUGAGACACGGUCCAGACUCCUACGGGAGGCAGCAGUGGGGAAUAUUGGACAAUGGGCGAAAGCCUGAUCCAGCCAUGCCGCGUGUGUGAAGAAGGUCUUCGGAUUGUAAAGCACUUUAAGUUGGGAGGAAGGGCAGUAAGUUAAUACCUUGCUGUUUUGACGUUACCAACAGAAUAAGCACCGGCUAACUUCGUG
rnacentral:rRNA from 1 species